UGUUUGAACCGCAUGGUUCAGACAUAAAAGGUGGCUUCGGCUACCACUUACAGAUGGACCCGCGGCGCAUUAGCUAGUUGGUGAGGUAACGGCUCACCAAGGCGACGAUGCGUAGCCGACCUGAGAGGGUGAUCGGCCACACUGGGACUGAGACACGGCCCAGACUCCUACGGGAGGCAGCAGUAGGGAAUCUUCCGCAAUGGACGAAAGUCUGACGGAGCAACGCCGCGUGAGUGAUGAAGGUUUUCGGAUCGUAAAGCUCUGUUGUUAGGGAAGAACAAGUGCCGUUCAAAUAGGGCGGCACCUUGACGGUACCUAACCAGAAAGCCACGGCUAACUACGUGCCAGCAGCCGCGGUAAUACGUAGGUGGCAAGCGUUGUCCGGAAUUAUUGGGCGUAAAGGGCUCGCAGGCGGUUUCUUAAGUCUGAUGUGAAAGCCCCCGGCUCAACCGGGGAGGGUCAUUGGAAACUGGGGAACUUGAGUGCAGAAGAGGAGAGUGGAAAUUCCACGU
rnacentral:rRNA from 1 species